UACCAGCACCCCGAGUGGUCGGGACGAUUAUUGGGCCUAAAGCAUCCGUAGCCGGCCUUACAAGUCCUCCGUUAAAUCCAGCUGCUUAACAGAUGGGCUGCGGAGGAUACUAUAAGACUAGGAGGCAGGAGAGGCAAGCGGUACUCAGUGGGUAGGGGUAAAAUCUGUUGAUCCAUUGAAGACCACCAGUGGCGAAGGCGGCUUGCCAGAAUGCGCUCGACGGUGAGGGAUGAAAGCUGGGGGAGCAAACCGG
rnacentral:rRNA from 1 species